rnacentral:lncRNA from 1 species
GUUGAAUGAUUUUUAUUUUUAUUGCAUAAUAAUUAACAUGGAUAACACUAUUAUUUUAAAGCAACAAUUAAAAAUAAAUGAAAAAGAACUAAAAAAACAAUAACGAUUUUCAUCCCAAUACCGAUGGAAGAGCCAGCAAGGGCGCUAGAAAUAAAAAUUUGAUCCUUUGGUAUCAUAUUACGAACCAGUGGAUUCAUAAUCCUCUGAUCUACGAAAUGAAGAUGACAAAAUCAGCAAAGGAGAUUUGCUGGUGGCGUAAUCUCAACCAAAGUGUGGCAGUGGUCAUAUGCUUUCGUCUAAGUACGUGACUUAUGCCAGACCACCACUUUAUCGUAAUCGUCGGUCGCCGAUGUCACUAAUGGAGGUCGCGGUGCACAUCAUCAACCAUUUAACCAUCUGUAGCUUUGAGGCCGCUGCCACAGUUUGGGUAGCGAGUGUGCCUCCAUCAAUUAUAAGCAGCCGACUAGGUCAAUACCUUUAGAUAGGUAGAAGAAAGAUAAAUCUAAUGGCACGGUGGUGUCGCCAUAUGCAUAUAGAGCCACUGGCAAUGUCGUCGGCACCGUCACCUGUGACGGAAUAGUAAUCGGUGGCGGUAAAGUUUCAUGCUUUUUAUCAAUUUAUGGGGUCCAGCCAUGGUAAAGUUUCAUGCUUUUUAUCAAUUUAUGGGAUUCAUACCACAGUUACACAGUAAUUUUAUCUUAAUUUAUGACUUUUAAUAUUUCUCAUUUAUUUGAUUUUAUUAUGAGGGUACUUUUAAAAUUAUAUAAUUUCAUUCAAGACACUUUUGGUAUUUAACAAUAUAAAAU